UGUAGGCUAAACUGACAACGGGGUGAAGAGCAGAAAAGCAAGCAAGUCGCAGCAAUGAAGAACGCGAAGGUGGGGGGAGAAUUCUGACGGGGAGAUUUUCGGCACUAUACCAGCCCUGAGGACUCUGAUCCAGGGCUUUAGUCAGCAUUAGCAAGCCACACUACUGCCCUGGAAAAGAGCAACGCAAAGUAGUUUACCUUGUACCACCUCACUGACCGCUACUUGACCCCAGAGUUUACGACCUCGGUUACUCAAGAUGACCUCAGGAGAACCAUGGGUGUUUGAAGAUGUCCAUCAUCGCCUUGGAGGUGGCCUCGCCAGUCUGAGCUUAAUGGUUAUUGCCUCCACCCAAUUGGUAAAAUAAUCGGUCGCCAUCAGGCUAGACAGGUACUCAUCUUUAUGCACAAGCUGUCCACUUCCUUGACAAUCCCAUGCCAAAAGAAGUGUCUGUAGAUUUUGGCAAUCAUGCGCUUGACUCCGAAUGGCCAACAUGCAUCUCGGUCAGCAUGGUCUCCGUCUCCUCAGUGAAAAGUACCCUCCUGUGUGGCUGGCCAUCCUUCCCCCGUAGGGGGACACUAUUUGGCAUGACAGGCUCUUUGAUUUUUCAUUUGUUUUCCAUAAAUGACGACUGUAGUGGAAGGAUGAGAAGGGUGAUACUCCUGACUGGCUGGCGUUCCCAUGGAAGUCCUGGGGUCACUGACGAUAUGAAAAUGUGAAUCAACUAAAUUAAUGUUACUGUGUGAAUUAUAUUGUCAUGUUUGGAUUGUUAAAGAGUUCGUAAAGAGCUAUGAAUGUUGAUAUAUUUUUUUGCACUGUUCAUAGUGAGCGACACAAGGGUGCGCUCCUAUCAUUUAAAUAUAGCUGAUUAGAUUAGAAUCUUGUUGUGUUUUCCUUUCUUUGACUUCCCCGCGCCUUAUGUGUACACAAUUCUUCUAAAUGUAAUACUAUUAAUAAGCUUGAAAUGUUUUCCUAUUAUUUCGCAUAGGUUAAUCACUGUGAUGAAUUAUAUUUACUAUCUUCUGCUGUUUUAUGAAUAAACAGGCAUGGGUAAAAACAACAACAAAAACGUUUCGAUGCUCCGCAUAGGCCCUUUAAUUUUUCAUUUGUUUUCCAUGAAUGAUGACUGUAUAGUGGAAGAUUGAGAGAAGAUGAUAUACUCGCGACUGGUGACUGGCUGGCGUGCAAAGCCCAGCAUGAUGACUCAAUCAUGAUUUAUUACAUUGUCUGGAUGGCAGACCACCUGUGGGCUAUCACAAGGUUCAAACAUACCUUAUCUGUGGCGAUCUCUAAGAAGAGGCCUUCUCAUGGAAGUCCUUGGGUCACUGGACGCCAGGGGAGGUGCGAAGACAGAUCAACGAAAUUAAUGUUACUGUGUAAAUUAAAUUGUCAUGUUUGAAUUUCUCAAGAGUUCACAAAGAGUCACGAAUUUGUAUAUAUUUUAUUGUACUGUAAGUGCUAUGGAUAUAUUGUUACACGGAGUGUUAUUUUGUUCGUCGGGCAGCCGAUAGUUCAACGAGGGAGUGACACAAUGCGCUCCUAUCAUUUACAUUGAGUUUAUUAGAUUCGAAUCUGGCUGUGAUUUCCUGUCUUUCGUUAAAACUAGCAUAGUGCAAAGAAAUGUUAAUUCGAGUUGUGCGUGAGUUUCUGAUUGAAUUUGGUUAAAAGGACAGUGAAUUUGUUCAUACUUUGAGAACUUGCUACCAAGCUCGUGUGUAUCAGAAAAAAACAUUGUGUUUUCUCUUAGAGACUAUUCUGAACUGAAGACGUGUUACCACGUUGUUUUAGCCUAUUGGUGAUAGUCAUAUACUCUGUAAUUCUGUAAUGUAUAAUGUAUUUCAUGUACACUGUAAUUGUCUGAGUGUCAAUUCUUUCAUCCUAUUAGUUAAAUAGAGUAACUGCAUUCCUCGUUUUACAGAGUAAUUAUUUGAUUGACCAAAUGCUUAUAAUUUAGAAGGUCUAUUGGUAGUUGUUAUUUACACAUACCGUAGCAUACUCUUGGGUACCACCUUGACAUCUCUGAUCUGCUUGCCUCAAUUAAUUAAUAUUAGAACAUUGGUUGCCAGGAUUAGUUAUUUGUAUCAAGUCUCUUAAUAAUUGCAUAACGGUGUAAGUUAGAAAUGUUCAUUAUAGUCAUACUGAGUCAGUGAUACAAUGAUUCACUAUCUUGCUAGAUCCUCCAGAGAUGCACAGGGCCUGUGGAUUUUUUUUUUUUU